CUCCUUUCUCUUCGGCAUCUCCUUUCGCCUGGGGUGACGGCUUUCCCCGCCGGCCUCGGAAGGAUGACCUGUAGUCUCUCCCCCAGGCUCCACGACUUCUCGAGUCCUGCCAGGGAAAAGCAGACCCCUGAUCCUUCAAUAUUCAGCGACCUGUUCUCCUUGUCAGUAAAGACUGUUUUACUAAUAGCAUUAAAAGCUGUCUCCAAUAACAUAGUAGUAAGAAGUAGAGACAGACUCCCACGGCACCCCCACCCAUGUGUCAUACCAGCUCAAGAUGUUCUGUCAUCUCAGAGGAGGCAAAACGGCUGCAACUGUGCAAAAUAUGAUAAACCACGAAGCAAAAUAGUAC
ensembl:lncRNA